AUAUAAUUGAUACAUUUAUGUAGUUAUUAAUUUAUGAUAUUGAUGGGACCAUAUAUUUACAUAGAACUUUCAAAAAAGUUAUUAUCUUAUUAAUUUAUCGAUUUCUGUCAUUAUUUACACUAGCCCCAACUCGGAUCGGAAAAAUUUAUAAAUUUACAGAGAUUAUUAAUUUAUCAAAU
rnacentral:sRNA from 1 species